UACAGAGGCCCCAAGCAUUAUCCGGAAUCACUGGGCGUAAAGGGUGUGUAGGCGGUCGUAUUAGUCUUUUGUGAAAGCUCUCGGACUCAAUCCGGGAAACGCGGGAGGAACGGUACGACUGAGAGGACGUAAGAGGUACAGGGAACUCAUAGUGUAGGGGUGAAAUGCGUUGAUAUUAUGGGGAACACCAAAUGCGAAGGCACUGUACUGGUACGCUCCUGACGCUGAAGCACGAAAGCGUGGGAAUCGAACGGG
rnacentral:rRNA from 1 species